rnacentral:rRNA from 1 species
GGAAUCUUGCGCAAUGGGCGAAAGCCUGACGCAGCCAUGCCGCGUGGAUGAUGAAGGUCUUAGGAUUGUAAAAUCCUUUCAGCGGGGACGAUAAUGACGGUACCCGCAGAAGAAGCCCCGGCUAACUUCGUGCCAGCAGCCGCGGUAAUACGAAGGGGGCUAGCGUUGCUCGGAAUUACUGGGCGUAAAGGGCGCGUAGGCGGACAGUUAAGUCGGGGGUGAAAGCCCGGGGCUCAACCUCGGAAUUGCCUUCGAUACUGGCUGUCUUGAGUGUGAGAGAGGUGUGUGGAACUCCGAGUGUAGAGGUGAAAUUCGUAGAUAUUCGGAAGAACACCAGUGGCGAAGGCGACACACUGGCUCACUACUGACGCUGAGGCGCGAAAGCGUGGGGAGCAAA